rnacentral:tRNA from 1 species
GCCGAGGUAGCUCAGCUGGUAGAGCAGCUGAUUCGUAAUCAGCAGGUCGGCGGUUCGAAUCCGCUCCUCGGCUCCA